rnacentral:lncRNA from 1 species
UACAACUCAAUAGCCUCUAUUGUGUAAGCGUGGUUCUCAUGAUCUCAUCCCAUGGCAAAGGUGGAGUGGGAACACGUUUGUUAGUUAAGGCCAACAUGAAAGAAUACCAAGUAAAAUAUCCAUGCGUUCCUUUUAUCCCUGAUGAGAAGUAUUUAUUCAUUCCUUUACAUACUAUCAUCAUCCGGGUAGACGAGAGAAGCUGGUCAGUGGAGCACACCCUGCAAAUCCAGCUCAGCUCCUCCAGUUAGUUCAUGAUAUGCUGGCUUCCCCGGCCUCAGCCUUCUAUUCUCCUCUAAAUCUUAAGCUCCUCGCUCUCAAAGGCCCCAUUGGCAGAAGGACGCCGCCUGAGGAAAUAAGUCAAGAGCCGGCACGACCUUCGAUGCCCAGUAGUGCGCCUAGCUAUACAAAUGUCACAUUACAUGACAGCUUCUUCACCAGAUCCGACGAAUCAAAGAGGUGUAGUACCUUCCUAAUAUUUGCAUACAACAAUUUGGUUAAGGAGAAUUUUUCAUUUGAUAACAUUUGUGACACUGGCUCAACGGUGCAUCAACCUCAUCAUGUAUUCCACCACAGGCUUUGAGAACAGAGAAAAAUUGUCCUCCAACAACUUGGUCGGCCUUGGUUGCUCCACACUCCACAUCUAGGCCUGCAAUGUUUUUUUGGCAGUGUUCGUCAGUCCACAAAAUAAAUGUCACAACAAUUUAUAAAGUGAAGAAAAAUUGAUAAAUCAUUUGUACCGGUAAAAAUGUUCAUGAUGACACAAACCUGCU